rnacentral:rRNA from 1 species
AUUGAACGCUGGUGGCAUGCUUAACACAUGCAAGUCGGACGGUAACAGUGAUGCUUGCAUCAGCUGACGAGUGGCGGACGGGUGAGUAACGCGUAGGGACCUGCCAUAGAGAGGGGGAUAACCAUUGGAAACGAUGGCUAAUACCGCAUAAUACCUAAGGGUUAAAGGUGGCUUUCGGGCUGCCACUUUAUGAUGGACCUGCGUUAGAUUAGCUAGUUGGUGGGGUAAAGGCCUACCAAGGCGACGAUCUAUAGCUGUUCUGAGAGGAAGAUCAGCCACACUGGGACUGAGACACGGCCCAG